CUAAUACUCCCUCCGUCCCAAGAUACUUGUCAUCAAAAUGGAUAAAAGGGGAUGUAUCUAGACAUAUUUCAGCUCUAGAUACAUCUCUCUUUAUUCAUUUUGAUGACAAGUAUUUCCGGACGGAGGGAGUAUUUA
rfam:Triticum aestivum genome assembly, contig: Triticum_aestivum_CS42_TGACv1_scaffold_224980_3B